CUCCUUGUUCUUUCAUUUAAGCUCCUGGUUAAUGAAACUCCAGGCAGCCUGUGAUUAUUCACACAACUAUGCACAUUGUACUACCCUGAACGUGCAUUUCCUGUCACACACUUUGUCAUUUCCUUGGUUUUUUAAAUGAUGAAACAAACAACAGGAGAAAGAAUCAUCUAACAAAGCUCCCACUUCCACUCUAGCCAAAUACUGAGCUGUUUGCCUGUUCCCAGCCAGGUUGAUUAAGGUGUCAUCCCUCCUCUUCAAGUGGCCUGCAUGGGGCCAUGCAGUUGCGCACCCAGGGCAUUAGCAGCGAUGAGAGGUAUGAAGUGGGAUGGAGGCUGCAGAGACCUGUGGACCCACCGGUCAAGCACUGAAGGGAGAGCUCCAUGACAAGGACCGGCAAGCACAUCCAGGAGGGAUGUGGAGACAGCGAUGCUGCACACGGUUGAUGGAUCACUCCCAUUUAAAACACAAAAAUAAGGCAGCUCGCCAGAGCAGUCUGGGCCAGUUUCAUUAAAACCCUUCAGUCAUCAUGCUGCAACAUGUUAUUGUGCUG
rnacentral:lncRNA from 1 species